GGGCUUGUCCGGGAUUUGAACCUGGGACCUCUCGCAACCAAAGCGAGAAUCAUACCCUAGACCAACGAGCC
rnacentral:tRNA from 1 species